rnacentral:rRNA from 1 species
UACGUAGGGUGCCAAGCGUUGUCCGGAAUUAUUGGGCGUAAAGAGCUCGUAGGCGGUCUGUCGCGUCGGCUGUGAAAACCCGGGGCUCAACCCCGGGCCUGCAGUCGAUACGGGCAGACUAGAGUGCGGUAGGGGAGACUGGAAUUCCUGGUGUAGCGGUGAAAUGCGCAGAUAUCAGGAGGAACACCGGCGGCGAAGGCGGGUCUCUGGGCCGUAACUGACGCUGAGGAGCGAAAGCGUGGGAGCGAACAGG